ncrna:unclassified sequences Glutamine-II riboswitch (downstream peptide RNA)
AUUCGUUCACUCCAAAAGGAGCGCAGUCCGAGCUAUACCAUGGAACGGGGGAUAGC